rnacentral:rRNA from 1 species
CACGGGGGGAGCAAGCGUUGUUCGGAAUCACUGGGCGUAAAGGGCGUGUAGGCGGUCCAGUAAGCGGAAUGUGAAAGCCCCCGGCUUACCCGGGGAUCUGCAUCCCAAACUGCUUGGCUUGAGUACGGGAGAGGAUGGAGGAAUUCCUGGUGUAGCGGUGAAAUGCGUAGAUAUCAGGAGGAACACCGGUGGCGAAGGCGUCCAUCUGGCCCGAUACUGACGCUGAGGCGCGAAAGCUAGGGGAGCGAACGGG